rnacentral:rRNA from 1 species
UAAUACUGAGGGUGCAAGCGUUAAUCGGAAUUACUGGGCGUAAAGCGCGCGUAGGCGGUCUGGUCAGUCAGAUGUGAAAGCCCCGGGCUUAACCUGGGAACUGCAUUUGAAACAGCCAGACUAGAGUGUGGUAGAGGGAAGUGGAAUUCCGUGUGGAGCGGUGAAAUGCGUAGAGAUGCGGAGGAACACCAGUGGCGAAGGCGACUUCCUGGACCAACACUGACGCUCAGGUGCGAAAGCGUGGGGAGCAUACAGGAUUAGAUACCCUGGUAGUCCACGCCGUAAACGAUGUCUACUAGCCGUUGGGGAGCUUGUCUCCUUAGUGGCGUAGCUAACGCGAUAAGUAGACCGCCUGGGGAGUACGGUCGCAAGACUA